UUUAACAUGAGAGUUUGAUCCUGGCUCAGGAUGAACGCUGGCGGCGUGCUUAACACAUGCAAGUCGAACGAAGCAAUUUUCUACGAUCCCUUCGGGGUGACGGAUUAUUGACUGAGUGGCGGACGGGUGAGUAACGCGUGGGCAACCUACC
rnacentral:rRNA from 1 species